UAAUACCAGCUCUCCGAGUGGUGGGGACGAUUAUUGGGCUUAAAGCGUUCGUAGCCGGCCCAGCAAGUCUCCCGUUAAAUCCAGCGAUCUAAUCGUUGGGCUGCUGGAGAUACUGUUGGGCUAGGAGGCGGGAGAAGCCGACGGUAUUCUCGGGGUAGGGGUGAAAUCCUGUAAUCCCGGGAGGACCACCAGUGGCGAAGGCGGUCGGCUAGAACGCGCUCGACGGUGAGGGACGAAAGCUGGGGGAGCGAACCGGAUUAGAAACCCGGAUAGUCCCAGCCGUAAACGAUGCGGGCUAGGUGUUGGGGCGGCCACGAGCCGCCUCAGUGCCGCAUGGAAGCAAUUAAGCCCGCCGCCUGGGGAGUACGGCCGCAAGGCUG
rnacentral:rRNA from 1 species